rnacentral:rRNA from 1 species
AUACGUAGGGGGCGAGCGUUGUCCGGAAUGAUUGGGCGUAAAGGGCGCGUAGGCGGCGCGGUAAGUCUGGAGUGUAAGUCCUGCUUUCAAGGUGGGAAUUGCUUUGGAUACUGCCGCGCUUGAGUGCAGGAGAGGUUAUCGGAAUUCCCGGUGUAGCGGUGAAAUGCGUAGAGAUCGGGAGGAACACCAGUGGCGAAGGCGGGUAACUGGACUGCAACUGACGCUGAGGCGCGAAAGUGUGGGGAGCAAACAGGAUUAGAUACCCUGGUAGUCCACACUGUAAACGAUGAAUGCUAGGUGUAAGAGGUAUUGACCCCUUUUGUGCCGGAGUCAACACAAUAAGCAUUCCGCCUGGGGAGUACGGCCGCAAGGUUGAAACUCAAAUGAAUUGACGGGG